AAACAUAUGAAUUUACUUGAAUGAUCCAAAUCAUUGGAACACAAUUUACAGAAAAAAUGUAGUUCUGCACUACAAAACUGAUUGCACAGGCUGACUUCUUGUGUGCUAAGAAAUCUUUGUAAUGCAACAAAGGCUAGAUUAGGAGGUUUCACUCCUACAACCAUGAUACAAGAAUAUCUAUUACAGGUGCAGCGGAAGCUGCAGGAGGCAAUCUAAUUACAGUAAUGCCUCGGCUUAUACUUCAAAACAAAUUCUAACAACA